UCUCUACGAAAUACGAAAUCUGACAUACUACUAACUCUCAAAGCAAAAACAACAGCACAAAAACCAAUCUAUUCUGCGAAAAACAAUUCAAAUUAAAGCUGCAAGCAGCGUUGGACGGGUCCUCGCAUCCAUGCUCGUCGUCGAAUCCACGCACGUCCACCAGGUGGCGCUGCGACCGAGAGUGUAUAUUGGCCUAUGGAUGUGAUCAUGUCCGCACUCUGAUGACACAUAUAACAUUUCAGGCAGAUCGGACCAUGUCCAGGCUAGUUAUAGAGCUUUUCCUUCUAUCCACCAGGUGGCGUUAUGACUGUGGCUGUAUUUCAGCAUGUGAAUGUCAUCAGGGCGGGACUCUGAUCAUACAUGUAAAGUUUGAGGCAGAUUAGAGUAUGUUUAGGGCAGUUACACAGCAGUUGAUGUGUCAUGUCGAAGCAUCAAAGUUUGGGAGCCUGCCAUGGCCACGCCCUCAGACUUUUGUGGAGCAUUUUGAUAACUUUUGAUCACCCAUGCCUGGAGUACAUCCUGGCUGAAUUUCAUAUCUGUCGGUGUUACCCUGUUUGAGUUGAUAGCUUUUCAAAAUGUCUAAAAAUGACCCAAAAUUGAAGGUUGGUGUUAAAUUCUAGAAAGAAGAAGAAGAUUAAAGAAAGAAAAUACAUAAAAAAGAAGCAAUUAAAUAAAUGGGAAAAAGUUAAGACAAUUAAACUUUUAUAAAGUAUGGGGGGAAAAAAGAUGUAAGAAAUUAAAGAAUUGUAUUUAAUAAAUAAACAGGAAAUUUGUAAAUAAGUGUUGUAGUCUUUUGCAGUUAAUUGAUGGAUAGGCGUAGUGAGAGACAGCCAGACAAUGGGGUAGAAAUAAGAAUGAGAACAACUAAUAUAGUACAGGGUUGCGAGCGGGAAUCGAACCAGGGCCUCAGCAUUGAGGACCAACUACAUGCUUCAGUGGCUUAACCCGCAGAGCUAUAUGAUCACGCAUGUUGGCUGUCAGCAAAGGUGUAUCAAUCCAAUAGAAAGUCUAGGGGUAGGGUUCGGGUUACAGAGGAAGGUCCUGACAGUAGCAAUGUACCAAAAACAUGGAUAUAAAAUUAUACAUUUUUUCAUAAUUUAAUAUUAAGUCACACUAGCCAAAAAAUUCUUAGAAUAAAGUUGGGGUUUUUCCUUCAGCCGUUGUGGUUGCACUGUACCUUUAGGUUAUCUAGAUCUACAACGGCUGAAGGAAAAACCACGGAUUAAUUUCUCAGAAUAUUCGGCUGCUUAGUAUUAACAUUAAAAAUAUUUAUGUGUAAUAUUAAUUACCCUAUUUUUUUCAUUACAACUGUAAGGACCUUCCUCUCCAACCCUAACCCUACCCCUAGACUUUCUAUUGGAUUAAUACACGUUUUCAAGACCAGAACAUGUGUGCUCAUGUAGCUCUACGGGUUACGCCUGUGAUGUUCAGGACUCAUUCUUGUAUUUUACACUCUCUGAUGUUUUCUUUUCUUCAUGUCUAGUGUGUGAAUCAUUUCUGGUUUGUCUCUUCAGUGUCUCAUGUGGCCCUGCAGCUUCUCCUCCUCCACCUCCUCCUGAAGCCUUCAUCUUCUUCAUCAUCAGCUGCUCAGUGACUCUGUUGGACGUCUCACCGUGUGGCAGCAGCUCAGGAGUUUGCAGUCAACCAAGGCCGACUCAGAAUCACUCCCACCGGGAAGAUCUGUGAAGGAAGGUCCACCCGGCUGGUCCAGAAGCUCCGGUCCAGCAGAGCAGCGUCAGGAUGGAGACGUAACCGGUGUUGAUGUCACCGCCUUGACGAAUAGAAGAAAAGCCUGUAUUUGGGUAUGUAGGACUGGUAGUCCAGAGGUAGUGGUGGUGGUUUGGAACCUGGAGAGUGCAGGUUUGAUCCCCCACCCUGCUCAAGCUUUGUUUUUUUACAUUUGGGCAAAAUUUGCCAAAAAUCUGCCUUCGUGCCUUCGUGCCUUCGUGCCUUCGUGCCUUCGUGCCUUCGUGCCUUCGUGCCUUCGUGCCUUCGUGCCUUCGUGCCUU